UGGAGUUUUGCACAGGAUCAGGUAGGAGGAGUUAACAAGACACGGUUCUUCAAACUGCUGGAUGCUGCACAGAGCACCCGUGGGGCACUCAGUGUCUGGGAUGAUUCUGCGCCAUCGCCCCAGUCCUCGGCGCCGGCGUUCAGAUGGAGAAACUGUAACUCGAAUCUUCGGGCUCUGUACAACAUCCAAGUUGUAUCCAUGAACUCUGAG
rnacentral:lncRNA from 1 species